rnacentral:rRNA from 1 species
AAUGAACGCUGGCGGCAUGCCUAACACAUGCAAGUCGAACGAAGGCUUCGGCCUUUGUGGCGCACGGGUGCGUAACGCGUGGGAAUCUGCCCUCAGGUUCGGAAUAACAGCGAGAAAUUGCUGCUAAUACCAGAUGAUCUCGCGAGAUCAAAGAUUUAUCGCCUGAGGAUGAGCACGCGUAGGAUUAGCUAGAUGGUGUGGUAAAGGCGCACCAAGGCGACGAUCCUUAGCUGGUCUGUGAGGAUGAUCAGCCACACUGGAACUGAGAGACCGCCCAGCCUCAUACGAGAGGCAGCAGUGGGGAAUAUUGGACAAUCGGAGAAAGCCGGAUCCAGCUAUGAAGCGUGAGUGAUGAAGACCUUAGGGUUGCAAAGCUCUUUUGCCCGGGAUAAUAAUGACAGUACCGAGAGAAUAAACCCCGGCUAACACCGUGCCAGCCGCCGCAGUAC